GUCUCCGUGGCGCAAUUGGUUAGCGCGUUCGACUGUUACCAGUUGGCAUCGAGAGGUUGACAGUUCAAUCCUGUCCGGGGACG
rnacentral:tRNA from 1 species